GAUGAACGCUAGCUACAGGCUUAACACAUGCAAGUCGCGGGGCAGCAUGGGGGUUGCUUGCAACCCCUGAUGGCGACCGGCGCACGGGUGAGUAACGCGUAUCCAACCUGCCCUUCACCACGGGUUAACCCGGCGAAAGUCGGACUAAUACCGUAUGUUGUUCCUUGACGGCACCCGAUUUGGACGAAAGGCUCGGCGGUGAAAGGGUGGGGAUGGGUGCGAUUAGCUUGACGGCGGAGUAACGGCCCACCGUGGCUACGAUCGGUAGGGGGUGGGAGAGGAAGGUCCCCCACACUGGAACCGAGACACGGACCAGACUCCUACGGGGGGCAGCAGUGAGGAAGAUUGAUGAAUGGACGUAAGCCUGAACCAGCCGAGUAGGGUGCAAGAGGACGGCCGUAGGAGUUGUAAACUGCUUGUAAGCGAAGAUAGAGUGGCCAACGUGUGGGCUUUUGCAGGUACCGAAUGAAUAAGGACCGGCUAAUUCCGUG
rnacentral:rRNA from 1 species